CUGUGGCACAGGUUGCAGGCAAUGAUGUAGGGGCUACAUUCUGCUUCAAAUAAUUUGAAGUCAUCCCACAUGUUUUCCAAUCCUAUUAUCUGGCAUUUCAAAUCCAACAAAUGAAUGAAUAAAUGAAUUCUGUCAGUUGUGUUCAAAUUUUAAGGUGUCAGGGGGUGCACAAUUAAAUCAAACGUCAGCAGAGAAGAUUUGUUUCUUUUGUUUUAUCUUUUUUCACCACUCUUUUUGUGAUGUUCUGUCAGUGUGAAAAAGGCGUGGGAGAAAUAAUGGACACAUGUGGAACUUACAUCGAUAUGUUGUUUCCUCCUCCAUUUCGACGUUGCACUUCCUGAAAAAGUUGUCGAGAGUGAGCAUCGAUGCAGACUCACUAUUUAAGGGCUGAACAGUCCACUCUCCCUCCGCACUACGCGGUUUGGGACGGCCCUUAAUAUGGAGGACCCUCCGCGGGAACGCGCAAAUGGAGGGGUAGUGUGUAGGGAUAGUGUGUAGGGGGCGGUUUGGGAUUCAGCCUAGGUGUUGGUCUGUGUGGUUGUGUGGGAAUAUGGCCUUUUCUUUAUUGUGAUUACCUUUAUUUGCAUGGUUAUCUGGUGUGUGGUUUCUUUAUAUUUUGCUGUGAAAUUAUUGCUUGAUUUCUGUUAGUUUGCCAAAUUGCAUGUUUUGCGGUGGUGUUUUUCUUUGUAUAUUCUUUUUGUUUUUUAAUUGAGUUCAGGUCACCCCCACUACCUGCAGCUGUGUACCAGGAACAGACUGUGGACAUUGGCUGAGCGCACCUGCUGCCAAUCAGUUGAUUACGCAGGACAGCAUCUGGGGCAGUGGCAGCAAACAAAAGAGAUGAUCAACGGCAAACAGAGGCAGCACGGCGAGAGCCGGCAGGAAGCAGACAGAGCAGAGGAACAGGCAGUACUGGGCGGCAGAAGCAGCGGGGAACGGCAGCGUGCAAGGGGCAGCACGAUAGAUAACCGCGCAAGAGCGGCGGUGUAUGACGAGCACCAGGGCGGACUACUAGGCUGAAACAAGGGCGCACAGCACCAGCACAGAGACAGGACGACCGAAGAGCGAGAGAGAGACGCACAGCAGCCGUAAAGUGGGGCCAGGUCUGGAACGCACGGCAGUGCUCAACGCGUGUUUGCGGCAUACUGGGCGGCUCGGAUAUCGCCGCCCAGACCCGGUGAGUCGCUACACACGGGAGGGAGACGUGUGGGUCCUGUUAUUACUUCCCCCACUGGCAGAUCCUCUCUUUCUCCCAGGCUCCAGAGCCUGCGUGAUUGCAAGACGCAGCACCGUGGCCCCUGAGGACUGGAGAAGCUCCCCCUCAACCCCCACUAAAGAAAAGGCCCCGCAUGACGAGUCCAGUGGUCACCCAUUCCGUAGUGACUUGAUUUUAAGAAUUUUUAGCUUCUUAACUUUUUAUUGGUAUUUUUUAUUGUUUAUUCUUAAAUGUUAUUUUUUAGAUGAAUAAAUUUAUUGGAAUGAAAAGAAUUGUUUUACCCUCUGUUGUUAUGCACUGCUCACCUCUGGGUUAAGAACCUCUUUUAAAUGGGUCCUAGUCCCUUACUAGGUGGCGUUGUCAGGUUUAAUCAUUGUAAUCCAAACUAUCCAAUUUAAUUCUAUUUUAAAGGCUUCAAUCUGAGAGACAUACCCCACUUGGCCGUGACAGUUGCAGCUCACAGCUGGAGCUGGUUGUAAUCAGCUGAGUGGAUUAUUGAAUCAUGUGAUUCCAGCCAAUCAGCGCCACUUCCUCAACCUACAAGAGCAGACGCCACACACUCUCCUACGCUGGAUCGUGACGCAACCUUUCUUGUUUCCUGAGCCACGUGUUUGCCGACUGGGACUCCUAAACCAACGUCCAGACUCCUCCAAGACCCUCCGGAAAACCUUCUACCGCCUUCUCCGGUCCAUCCAGCACCCACAGCCAGCUAUUGUCCCCCCCUGGAAAAUCACCAGCUGGAGCCCAGUCCGAGCGUCUCUAGUGUCAAUGGACUUUGUUAUCGUACCAUUUUGGUUUUUGUGAGUAAUUAGUUUCGUUCCAUGCCUCGUAUGAGUGAUGCCACAAGCCAUUUGGCUUCCCUUUUUGUUAACCGUUUUUGCCUUCAGUUUCUCGAGUACUCUGUACCUUAGUUCAGUUAAGCCUUUAUCCCCAUGGGGUUUUGUUUGUGUUUUCCUCCUGCCUCUAGGAGCAGUAGAGUGUAGUUUAGCCUUCUCACUUGUUAUUAGUUAGCCUUCCGUCCGCUAGCUACCGUGUUCAGGCAAUAAAAUCCUCUUUAUUCAUACUUCCUGGUGUGCUCGUUCAUUCCCUGCAUCUGAGCUCUCGUCUCGAACCCUGACAAAGUUCUGACAGGGCGCUGGACUGACCCACAUUCAGCCAUGUCUCCGUCACAAAAAGGAAAUCCAGAUCACGGGAGCUGAAGAAAUCUCUCAGGAUAAAAGUAUUGUUUGCCAGUGAUCUGGCAUUUACCAAGCUUAUCCUAGCUGGAAUUGAAACCUGGGGACCGACAAAUUGGGGAGCCCAACACGGUGGCCUCAGGAUCAGAAGAAUCAUCCCCCGCAAGCUGAUCCGGGGAGGGUAGGGUCGGCGAGGCCGGGACACUUCAUCCGAGCUGACCACAGACACCAGUCAGGUGCUCACAGGAUGCAGGAAAUGCCGGGAAAUGCAGACAUGAGGAGACAGCCCACGCAGCGUCCUGGAAACAGCAGAAGAGUGCAUCAGCCAAGCCCUCAACUUCACCAGACGACCGCCGCGUCUAUCGCGGCGAUGGUGAUGUUUUCACCUGGAGAGCGGAGCCGAAACCCGGUACAGGUGAGCAGGGAUAACUGACAGAUGCGGAGGCAGAAAAUUCUGUCUGCCACGAUCAGACGUAAUUAGAUCUUUCACAGACAAACGAAGAUCCAGCAGUGUUUGGCGAUCAUACAUGAGCAGCGACUUGAUUUGUUGAGUGCCGGGAGUUAACAACAAUAAAAUUAUACACAAAACUGGGAGCGAGAGACGGCCUGCCACACACACUGGCGCCAUCUUGGUGCCAGUGUGUGUUAUUAUUAUUAUUAGACUUCUUAGUAUUGUUUCUAGAUUCUGUGGUCCUGUAUUUUUCUUUUGUCAUUGUUCCUGAUUUGUUAUCUUUUAUUUUUUGUUAUUUUCCUCUGGUUGUUGUCUGUCUUUGUUUGGGUUGUUUUUCUUUUAGGUUUUGUUAUUUUUCUCUUCAUUGACUAAUUUGAUUGAUCUGGUGUGUGAGUCGGUGGCGUAACUGACCUUGGUGGUGACCUCUGGGCCCAACAUUGGUGGUGCUGGAGUAGUUGGAGUGUGUUUUUUUUGUUUGUUUUUUUUUGCCCCUGUCCUGGCGACUAACAGUUUGCUCUCUCUCUCCCUUGGACAGGAGCUGUUGGGUCAGACAAUGUGUGGCUGAUUGAUUUUUCCCUUGGUGGUGGUGGUCCCUUCACUCCCUCUGCAGUAGUGCGCUUGGGUGUUUCUCCAUGGUUUUGUUUUUUUUCCACGUGUGGUGUGUCAUAUCCGGACCCUUCCUCUCCCCUUCAGUUGGUCAUCCCCGCCUGGUAAGCCCUCAGCCCUGUGUCUAUGGUCAAAUUUCUAUGGCAAACUUAACUACGUCUUGGAGGAUCAGGUCAAUAUUGUGCCACUUACCAUUAAGGAAUUUUGUGGCAUUGACACCAAGAGGUUUUUAGAGAGGAAGGAUUGUGAUUUUUUUUAUUUUUUUUAUAUUAAAUUCUAUUUUGGUAUACUGUAAUUGGAAUCACGCCAGUCUGUAGUGUCUGUCAUGCCCGUGUGCGACCUUGGUUUCUAUAUUGGAGCAGUGGUCCUUCUUAAAUCAAUCUGGGGGUGAAACUCCCCCAGUGGUGUUGUCGGACACUGGGCAAAAAAGAAAAAUACAUUUAGCCCUCGUAGCAUUGCCACACCAUGUACAGGUUAAUCAGUUCUAAUUUUGUUUUAUCAGUCCAGUCCUAGUGUUCCUCAGCUCCAUUAGGGAGCUCUGUUGAUACCUGAGCUUGGUAAAGCACCUGUUGUUUCAGGAUAAAGUUUGUCAUUUCCAGCUGUGGUUCUUUUGUGUGCUGUAAAUAAAAUUAUCCUUAGACAAUCCAA